UCCCUAGUGGUCCAGUGGCUAAGACUCUGCUCUCCCAAGGCAAAGGUCCUGAGUUCCAUCCCUAGUUGGGGAA
rnacentral:tRNA from 1 species